GGGUUAUAAAUUCUGAUCCACAAUUAUGUAAUCCUAAUAAGAAAAUCACAGUUGAAUGCAUAUUAAACAAGAUAAAUGAGAAUUAAAAUCUAGAGAUGUUUAUAACAGGAGUUUCUCAUCGGAGGUAUACAACGUACAUGGAAAAUGUUGGGCAGUGAUUUGUUGGCCAUGUAGUCUCCAAUAUCCGUGUAGGAACUGGGUGACAAGUCUAUUUAGAUGUCAUAUACAGACCUACAUGUAUAAAGACGCCAUCGUUUGUUGUAUUGAUGUCAAUUAUACGAUAACAAAUUAAUAUAAAUAUCAUGAACAUAUUUUACAGGUGAAGUUUAAUCACUGCUACCACAAAGUAUUCAGUAUGUAUAUUUGGUUUCAUAGCUUUGGUAUGACAAUUCUGAUGUUUUAACCAUAUUCUUCAUGAGUUUUACCGAACCUUUAGCUUUCCCUUAGUUUUGCUUUACUAAAUGAAUGUCACUUAGAUACUUAUCCUACUUCUGUGACUGAUUUUGUAAAUAUAUUUCUAUUAAACAGGAAAGAUAUUUUUUCCACAUAAUCAGCAAAAAGCAGCAAACGAAAUUUUAAUUAAUAAUGUUAUUAAAAAAUCUUCUGAAUGGCACAAUUUUAAACAAAGUGAUGUUAGAUUAGUUUUGGUUAAUAUUUUUUAUGAUGAUUGAUGAACCUUGUUCAUUAGAAGCAGCUGUAUCAAUUAAAACGUAUGUUUUCUAGCAGUUACGUAAACAAACAAAUCGUCAGUUAAUCUUUUGAUAAAGGGUUUAGUUCUGAUGAUGAAGAUGAACGACGAAAUCAAAUAACAUUUUGCAAAGAGAUACUGAAAAUACAUAAAAGAGUCUUUAUCUGUUCAUUUCAAGUCUCAUUUGCAAAACUUUUGAACAGUGUUUAAAAAAUUGAUGCAAUGAAGGUCAAAAUUGUUCAAGAUGAUCUUUUAUGUCAUAUUUUUAACUUCAAACCAAAUAUACAUUCAUGAUGCGACGUUAAACAUGAAAUAAAUUAUAUGUUUUCUCACUCUCGUAUACAAACAUUAAACAAUAACGAACUCAUCGCUCCUGUUUUCUAAUAUGUCGCGUGGGAGCCAAUCCCACGCGCGACAUAUCAAUAAAGGAUGGCAAGUGAUUAUAAUCAGACUGGUAGUUUUUUCAUUAUUAAUUUUUAAUUCCUGGCCUUACUUGAAUGGUUACCACAAUGAUUUGACUGUUUGAAUCAAUAUAAAAACUAACUUUUGAUAUUGAAAUUUCACAGAUGUAAGUGUCACCACAACCAAUCGAAAUCCAUUGUUACAUGUUUCAUUCAAGAGCUAUCAAAAAUAGCAUCAGUUAACUACGUAACUUUAUUUGCGUCAGUCUAAAACUUUAUUGUUGUUACAUUAACAAAUCAGAAAAAGUUGUGUAUGGUGAACAAUUAUUACAUAGCGAACAAACUUCAACACCCAAUCGUUUUCGGUAUCUCGAAAGUUGGGACCAAAAACGAAAUUCUCUCUCACUUGUCAUGUAUUAAAGAGG
rnacentral:lncRNA from 1 species